CUUGCGCUCUGAUGUCAGAUAACAAACAAACAGUAAGGAUAAGGAAAAAGGUUGAUAAGCUAAUCACCCUCCUCUGAGAGUCAGAUGCCCCUGAUAUUGUAAUUUGGUAAUUAAAGCUAAGUCACCAGAGCAGGAAGCAAUUCUUGUGAAGAAGAGCUAGGACUUUCACAGACAGUGAUGGUAGAUUCCAUUUAAAAAGCCAGAAGACUACAGUAUCUCCUGGAGGUCUGAUUAUGGAAGUUGCUCUAGGUACCCUGCCAGUCACAAACAGCCACAAAAACUUACAUGCUACAUUGACUGGAGUUUGACAUUCCCAAAUACAUUUUAUAUAAGCAUUUUGAAGUAGUAUACUUUUUUGGAACAAUAACAGCUCUACCAAUUAUCAGAAGUGAUAGUAUUAGGAUACCAAGCAUAGGGAAAAAAUUAUAGGCAAAGACGAUUAAGAGAUAUUUAGUUAAAUAUGAAUUUGAAUUCAGAUUUUAAUGGUUUCUGGCACCGAAAAAUCCCCCUAAUGAAAGUGAUAAUUUGAAAACCUGUAUCAGAUUUAACUUUGUAUUGUUUUCUUCCCUCUAUUUAUAUACAUGCAGCUGGAUUUGAUGCUCUUUCACAAGUAAUGGUGGGGAACUAGGAGAUCCAGUUUUGUGCAUGCGAACUAACAGAACAUCUGAAGAGCAGCUAGAAUUACACUCUCAAGAGUUCUAGUCCUAAUCUUUUAAUUAUCAGUAUUUAUUUUAGCAUUAACAGUAUGCUUAGUAUUAUACAUAACAAAGACAUGGCUUAACAAAUUCUACCUU